rnacentral:rRNA from 1 species
AGCAGCCGCGGUAAUUCCAGCUCCAAUAGCGUAUAUUAAAGUUGUUGCAGUUAAAAAGCUCGUAGUUGAAUUUCAGGCCUGGCUGGACGGUCCGCCCCUCGGGUGAGUACUGUCUGUGGUCGGGUCCUACCUUCCGGCGAAGCGUCAUGGCCUUAACCGGCUGUGGCGGGGAACCAGGACUUUUACUGUGAAAAAAUUAGAGUGUUCAAAGCAGGCAAUCGCUUGGAUACAUUAGCAUGGAAUAAUGGAAUAGGACAAUGGUUCUAUUUGUUGGUUUCUAGGACCGUUGUAAUGAUUAAUAGGGAUAGUUGGGGGCAUUAGUAUUCAAUUGUCAGAGGUGAAAUUCUUGGAUUUAUUGAAGACUAACUACUGCGAAAGCAUUUGCCAAGGAUGUUUUCAUUAAUCAAGAACGAAAGUUAGGGGAUCGAAGACGAUCAGAUACCGUCGUAGUCUUAACCAUAAACUAUGCCGACUAGGAAUCGGGCGAUGUUGAAAAAAUGACGC